rnacentral:rRNA from 1 species
AGAGCUCGUAGGCGGUUUGUCGCGUCUGCUGUGAAAUCCCGAGGCUCAACCUCGGGCCUGCAGUGGGUACGGGCAGACUAGAGUGCGGUAGGGGAGAUUGGAAUUCCUGGUGUAGCGGUGGAAUGCGCAGAUAUCAGGAGGAACACCGAUGGCGAAGGCAGAUCUCUGGGCCGUAACUGACGCUGAGGAGCGAAAGGGUGGGGAGCAAACAGGCUUAGAUACCCUGGUAGUCCACCCCGUAAACGUUGGGAACUAGUUGUGGGGACCAUUCCACGGUUUCCGUGACGCAGCUAACGCAUUAAGUUCCCCGCCUGGGGAGUACGGCCGCAAGGCUAAAACUCAAAGGAAUUGACGGGGACCCGCACAAGCGGCGGAGCAUGCGGAUUAAUUCGAUGCAACGCGAAGAACCUUACCAAGGCUUGACAUACACCAGAACACCGUAGAAAUACGGGACUCUUUGGACACUGGUGAACAGGUGGUGCAUGGUUGUCGUCAGCUCGUGUCGUGAGAUGUUGGGUUAAGUCCCGCAACGAGCGCAACCCUCGUUCUAUGUUGCCAGCACGUAAUGGUGGGAACUCAUGGGAUACUGCCGGGGUCAACUCGGAGGAAGGUGGGGGAUGACGUCAAAUCAUCAUGCCCCUUAUGUCUUGGGCUUCACGCAUGCUACAAUGGCCGGUACAAAGGGCUGCAAUACCGUGAGGUGGAGCGAAUCCCAAAAAGCCGGUCCCAGUUCGGAUUGAGGUCUGCAACUCGACCUCAUGAAGUCGGAGUCGCUAGUAAUCGCAGAUCAGCAACGCUGCGGUGAAUACGUUCCCGGGUCUUGUACACACCGCCCGUCAAGUCAUGAAAGUCGGUAACACCUGAAGCC